rnacentral:rRNA from 1 species
AACGGCCCUACCGGGUUGGUUAAACUAGCUUUUGUCAGGGGAAGUAAACCCAACCUACGUGUAGUGGGUUGGAAUGUACUCUGAGAAUAAGGAUCGGCUAACUCCGUGC